rnacentral:rRNA from 1 species
CCUACGGGUGGCUGCAGUGAGGAAUAUUGGUCAAUGGACGCAAGUCUGAACCAGCCAUGCCGCGUGAAGGAUGAAGGCCUUCUGGGUUGUAAACUUCUUUUAUUGGGGAAGAAAAUUACGGUUUCUACUGUAACCGACGGUACCCAAUGAAUAAGCACCGGCUAACUCCGUGCCAGCAGCCGCGGUAAUACGGAGGGUGCAAGCGUUAUCCGGAUUAACGGGGUUGUAGGCGUGUUUUUGCGGGCUAUGAGAAAUCUCCGGGCUCAACCCGGAAACUGCCAUUGAUACUAUUAGUCUUGAAUAUCGUUGAGGUAGGCGGAAUAUAUCAUGUAGCGGUGAAAUGCAUAGAUAUGAUAUAGAACACCGAUUGCGAAGGCAGCUUGCUAAACGAUGAUUGACGCUGAGGCACGAAAGCGUGGGGAUCAAACAGGAUUAGAUACCCCUGUAGUC